rnacentral:tRNA from 1 species
GCUGAGAUGGCCGAGUGUUUAAGGCGUUGAACUUGAAAUCCAAUGGGUAUUACCUGCGCAGGUUCAAAUCCUGCUCACAGCGA